rnacentral:rRNA from 1 species
AGCUAGUAGGUGGGGUAACGGCUCACCUAGGCGACGAUCCCUAGCUGGUCUGAGAGGAUGACCAGCCACACUGGGACUGAGACACGGCCCAGACUCCUACGGGAGGCAGCAGUGGGAAUAUUGCACAAUGGGCGGAAGCCUGAUGCAGCGACGCCGCGUGAGGGAUGACGGCCUUCGGGUUGUAAACCUCUUUCAGCAGGGACGAAGCGCAAGUGACGGUACCUGCAGAAGAAGCGCCGGCCAACUACGUGCCAGCAGCCGCGGUAAGACGUAGGGCGCGAGCGUUGUCCGGAUUUAUUGGGCGUAAAGAGCUCGUAGGCGGCUUGUCGCGUCGACUGUGAAAACCCGCGGCUCAACCGUGUGGUCUGCAGUCGAUACGGGCAGGCUAGAGUUCGGUAGGGGAGACUGGAAUUCCUGGUGUAGCGGUGAAAUGCGCAGAUAUCAGAGGAACACCGGUGGCGAAGCGGGUCUCUGGGCCGAUACUGACGCUGAGGAGCGAAAGCGUGGGGAGCGAACAGGAUUAGAUACCCUGGUAGUCCACGCUGUAAACGUUGGGCGCUAGGUGUGGGGGGCCUCUCCGGUCUCUGUGCCGCAGCUAACGCAUUAGCGCCCGCCUGGGAGUACGCGCAGGCUAAA